rnacentral:lncRNA from 1 species
UGUAAAGGGCUUUGUAUGCUCUUUGGCACAUAGUCUGUGCUUAGUAUAAAGCAUGCUAUUAUUUCUAGAAGAACUCAGACUCUUGUGUACGCAGAGGAACACCCUGGCUGCUAGUGAGGUUAACUUGCUCAGUCAUUUGUUCUUUUUGCAAGUGUUUGGUGCUGGGUGUCAGUGAUCUUGUGUAAGGCAAAUGGCACAUGGUCGGUGAAUAUUUACGGAGUGUAUGGCUACAGAGAUUUUCAUCCUCUUGGGGAAGUUUGCCUGGGAAGGGGUCACGCUUGCCUGGUGAGGAGAAACCCAUGAAGGACCCUGUCUCCCAGAUGGAGGAAAUCUGACAAGCAGUGGUGUGGGGAGCAGGCCUGCGGCUAUUCUCACACCAGUGUCUUCAUCGUUGGUGUGAUUUGGGCCCAGGAGGACUUAUGUUUUGGAGAAGGAACUUCAAACUGCCUUUUUGGGGACAUGCAGGUUAUAACCCUGCAUGUUGAUGACAGAUUUCCUGAGUGAUGGUAACCAGAUGGGUGUUGGAAUCAGCUUCUUAGCUCUGGCCAGGUGACUAAACAGGUAUGUUGAUGUUAUUUGCUUUUCAUAAUUUGCAUGAAACUAAUUUGAUCUCAGUCAUAAUCAAGGAGACAUGAUCUUCAGCAGAAAGAACAACAUCUCAUAUAAAAUUGUGUGUCUUGGGUCAUCUUUCAUCUACCUUUGAAGUGAUUUAUGACUCUCUAAGCUAAUAAAACACCUUGCUGAAAUAAAACGAUUUGUCCA